UACGUAGGGGGCAAGCGUUGUCCGGAUUUAUUGGGCGUAAAGAGCGUGUAGGCGGCUAGAUAGGUCCGUUGUGAAAAACUCGAGGCUCAACCUCGAGACGUCGAUGGAAACCAUCUGGCUAGAGUCCGGAAGAGGAGAGUGGAAUUCCUGGUGUAGCGGUGAAAUGCGCAGAUAUCAGGAAGAACACCCGUGGCGAAGGCGGCUCUCUGGUACGUGACUGACGCUGAGACGCGAAAAGCCCAGGGGGAGCGAAACGGGG
rnacentral:rRNA from 1 species